rnacentral:ncRNA from 1 species
UUAUCUAGAGUGACCGAGGGACAGGCCCGAUGACGUCACAGCAACCUGCAUUUGUAAGGUGCUAAUACCUGCGGAAAAUUCCGAGUGAUGAG